UUGUCCUGGCCUGUGCGUUCUCCGCUCCCCUGUGCUCGGUUGCGACAGGGGGUGCGGCGGGACACACAGCAAUCUCCCCCUCAGUUUACGAGGGCCGUCCUGACUGUAGGGCUGGCUCUCAGAGGCAGGAGAGGACAAU